rnacentral:rRNA from 1 species
GUUGGGUAGGGGAGCGUUCUGUAAGCCUGUGAAGGUGGCCUGUGAGGGUUGCUGGAGGUAUCAGAAGUGCGAAUGCUGACAUAAGUAACGAUAAAGCGGGUGAAAAGCCCGCUCGCCGGAAGACCAAGGGUUCCUGUCCAACGUUAAUCGGGGCAGGGUGAGUCGACCCCUAAGGCGAGGCCGAAAGGCGUAGUCGAUGGGAAACAGGUUAAUAUUCCUGUACUUGGUGUUACUGCGAAGGGGGGACGGAGAAGGCUAUGUUGGCCGGGCGACGGUUGUCCCGGUUUAAGCGUGUAGGUGUGUGUUCCAGGUAAAUCCGGUUCACUUUAACACUGAGGCGUGA